rnacentral:lncRNA from 1 species
GGAAGCCCCCGGGGCCCCGGCGGCCGCGGGGUCUCGGGGCGACCCGCCCGCGCCGAGCUGCCCGAGGGCGCCUUUGUGUCCGGAUCUGGGUGAACGAAACCGCCACCGUUUUGCUCUCGCGUCCGAGUUCCCUUUUCAGAUUCCCCCCAACCCCACCCCCACCCCGCUCCCCGCCCGGGAGCCGGGAGGCCGCAGCCGAGGCUUCAUCACUAAAAAGUAGACGCGGGCCCCGCCACCCCUACCCCGCCUCCGGAAGUGCCGGUCCCCGCCACCCACCCCAGGCAGGGUCCAGGCUCCCGAGACGGAAGGGUCUUUUACGGAUCAUCUCUGAAGAAAUGGAAGCUCCAGAAAGAUAAAUACCUUCUCCCAAGUCACGCCGCCUGUAAAUGGCUGAGUCGGGACGAGGAGGAAGGGAACCAACAUGGAUACGGCACUUACUCCGCGUCCAAGAGCCUCACAGAAGUCGUCUUCGCUCCAUCUGCAGAGGAGAUUCAGGGAGGUUUAGGCACCACGCCGACAUCACGCAGCGGUGAAGGGGCAGGGCUGGCAGUUGAAUGUAGGUCUAGCUGAUUCUUAUAAUAUGUAAUUCUUUUCUUUUAAAAAUAUUUACUUAUUAGGCUGCAAAGGGUCUUAGUUGUGGUCCACCGAAUCAGUGGGGGCAUGUGAAUUUUUUUUUUUUUUUCUGGUUGCGGCAUGUGAGAACUAGUUCCUUGACCAGGGAUUGAAGUCGGCCCCCCUGCACUGGGAGUGCCCACUCUUAGCCACUGGACCACCAGGGAAUUCCCAUAAUCUGUAAUUCUUGCUAGACCUUUAUCUGUCUGGUUCACACGUGUCUCCCCAACAUCGAGGGAAUGAAUGAAGGAAUCAAGCUCUUUCCAGUCUCCCACACCUCCAUCCAGAUUCACCCUGAUCAAAGUUAACAGACCCUAGGGGCGAUUACACGGUUGCCAUGGUAACCGAACUUUAGAAGUAAGUGCUUCAGGCAACCCAGGACAAAACCAGUGAACCCUUCUCUCUCUGGAAUAAUUACAGCUUUUCUGUCCAAGCCGACAAAGGUUAACACAAAGCAGCAAAGAGGAGAGAGUCCCUGAUGACAAUAAAGUCAUACUUUAUUGCUCUUGACCA